rnacentral:tRNA from 1 species
GCCCGGCUAGCAAAACUGGCUAAUGCGCUUCACUUGUAAUGAAGAGACUAUAGGUUCGAAUCCUAUGUUGGGCACCA